GACGAACGCUGGCGGCGUGCCUAAUACAUGCGAGUAGAACGCUGAAGGAGGAGCUUGCUUCUCCGGAUGAGUUGCGAACGGGUGAGUAACGCGUAGGUAACCUGCCUGGUAGCGGGGGAUAACUAUUGGAAACGAUAGCUAAUACCGCAUAACAGUAGAUAUCGCAUGAUAUCUGCUUGAAAGGUGCAAUUGCAUCACUACCAGAUGGACCUGCGUUGUAUUAGCUAGUUGGUGAGGUAACGGCUCACCAAGGCGACGAUACAUAGCCGACCUGAGAGGGUGAUCGGCCACACUGGGACUGAGACACGGCCCAGACUCCUACGGGAGGCAGCAGUAGGGAAUCUUCGGCAAUGGACGGAAGUCUGACCGAGCAACGCCGCGUGAGUGAAGAAGGUUUUCGGAUCGUAAAGCUCUGUUGUAAGAGAAGAACGAGUGUGAGAGUGGAAAGUUCACACUGUGACGGUAUCUUACCAGAAAGGGACGGCUAACUACGUG
rnacentral:rRNA from 1 species